GGCGAGUCGUGCAGCCGGGAAGCCGCAGGGGGCGCCGCGCGCUUCCGGGUCGUGCGUUCGAGGCCGCGCGCUCCCACUUGGGGCGCCAACCUGAGGAUGGGCGUCGUCUGGGGUCUGUGCGGGCAGAAUGUCAACAAAUCGCGCACAAACCCGAGGGGACGUCUUGCCGGAGGGGCAGCCGGCCAGAGCCGCCGGGACGCCGCAGCGCAGCAGGUAGAAGGAUGGACGCAUUCUUUGGCAUUAACUGCUCAGAAGUCAAGCAUUCGAACAGAAACGGCUGCUGGAAUGACCUUGAGAACCAGGGUCCCUGCUGAGGAGGUGGCUGGUUCCCGGAUGGGAGUCUUUACUGGUGAGAGAGCGAGGAACAAAGAUGCUUCUCGGGCCUACCCAGCUUAGCUCACGUAGUUAUGUGUGUGUGCAUGCCUUUGACUGUGACAGUCACGCACUUGCUGCCUGUAAUAGCCCACCUGAAACUUGUCAACUCAGCAUUUCCUAGGGUGACCUAUGAAACUGGUCACGUCUUUUCUUGUGAUAGCCGUAGAGAAGAUGACGUCAUCCUGAUGCAGCCUAGAAUAGAGGUUAAAGAGAUGGCCAAGUUGCAGAGAUGUAGGAGCCACACCAGGCUUCUGGGUAGGUUCUGGAGAUUUAGUUAACCCUAGUGUGUUUGUGUGAGGCAGGUGUCCGCAAAGAUUAUACAGUGGGCCGACUCUGAGUUGCUGCAUCUCAUGGCCAAAUGCUGUCUGGAUCUUUAGAGAGUUUCUUGGAAACUCCCAUUCUCAGAUUUCUGUUGAAAGUACUAGAGAUCCACAGGAGACAUCACUAGAAAAUUGUCGUUUACCAUUCCCACACCCACUUGAGGUUUAAAGAAUUCUGUGGUUCAUUUUUCAUGUGCCCUCAUUUGGUGUUUAUGCUAAUUUGGGGUUAAUAAUGUAUUAGGUAAUGAUCUAUUUUAUGAUGAAAACCAGCUGAGACACGGAGACCUUAAUAGAGCUCUUGGCUAAAGAACUCUCCAAUUCUAGCUCAAGGGUGUCACAAAUGUUCUCUUUUGAAGUGUUACUGAGAAACUUACUAAAUACUUUUCUAUAAUUGGCCCGUUCAUUCUUUGGGAUGUGCCUUUCCCAUGCAUGCCUACAUGUCUGUAGAGGAAAAUGAAGCUAUACUGUGAUUUACCCAUAAUUAGAAUAUGGGGGCUCAA
rnacentral:lncRNA from 1 species